ACGAACGCUGGCGGCAUGCCUAACACAUGCAAGUCGAACGAGACCUUCGGGUCUAGUGGCGCACGGGUGCGUAACGCGUGGGAACCUGCCCUUAGGUUCGGAAUAACUCCCCGAAAGGGGUGCUAAUACCGUAUAAUGUCUUCGGACCAAAGAUUUAUCGCCUUUGGAUGGGCCCGCGUUGGAUUAGCUAGUUGGUAGGGUAAAAGCCUACCAAGGCGACGAUCCAUAGCUGGUCUGAGAGGAUGAUCAGCCACACUGGGACUGAGACACGGCCCAGACUCCUACGGGAGGCAGCAGUGGGGAAUAUUGGACAAUGGGCGAAAGCCUGAUCCAGCAAUGCCGCGUGAGUGAUGAAGGCCUUAGGGUUGUAAAGCUCUUUUACCCGGGAUGAUAAUGACAGUACCGGGAGAAUAAGCUCCGGCUAACUCCGUG
rnacentral:rRNA from 1 species